AGAUAGGCUUUAUAUAUUUGCCGCCUAAUUGCUGAUUCUGCUGUUCGCAAUUGAAAAUUGCCCAUCUAAUCUUCUCUCUCUCGUCCACAUAUUUUUGAUUCAGCUAUUAAGUAAGAAAUGUAUAUCUUUUUGCCAAGGGUACACAACAAGAGCCAUGUUGUAAAAUCAUUACAAAAGCAUCCGACAUCGUUCAGCGUAUGGGAUGAUACUGUGUAAUACCUCGUUUUGGUGGCAACUUCCUCAAAAUGAAAAGGACCAGAGAUGAAGAUAGUCGAAACAGAGAGAUCUGAACAUAUUGAGAUUGGGAAAAUUGCCCACGGGGAAGCUGAGUCUAUAGAUCUUGUUGAUAUGGGUGUUUCUCCUAAGAAACCUAGAGCUGCAAUUGCUGGAGCAGCUGACUUAGUAAAAAGCUCGAAGAGUAAAAGAAAUUUGCAAAUUUCAAAGGGGAAAUAAGAUAAUAGUAGCUGCCUAUGGAAGUUUACCAUCUAGCUCUAAAGCAUGAAUUGUUUUGUGUGGAAUGUCAGAGGGCUUAAUAAACCUCUGAAGCAACAUGCAGUGUAUAAUAGAAUUAAAGAUAACAAGGCUAGGGUUGUUUGUUUGAUUGAAACUAGAGUAAAGCAUAAUAAGAGGAGGGCCAUUCUUGAAAAAUGGUUCAAUGGUUGGAAGUCUUUUCACAAUUAUGUCGAAGCUGAUAAUGGGAGGAUCUGGGUUCUAUGGAAAGACUAUCUUCAAUUGUCUUUGGUGUGUACUACUGAUCAAAGCAUCACAGCCAGCUUUAGUGCAGAUAAUUACCUUCUUUUCUUGACUGCCAUUUAUGGAAGGAAUAUGGGUAGUGAGAGGAAAAGGCUUUGGAAGCAUUUGCAAGGAUUGCAUCAACUUGUGGCAGAUCAUUCAUGGAUCCUUGUUGGCGACUUUAAUGUCAUAGCAAGCUCUUUUGAAAGCUCUGAUUUCAGGGUACCUCUAACCUGACUCUGGUUGUUUUGGUCCCAAAGAAGCAGAAUGCUAGCAGCAUUAAGGAUUACAGACCAAUUUCGUGUUGCAUUGUUUUUUAUAAAUGCAUCACUAAGGUAUUGGGUAUGAGGCUCACCAAAUUUCUUCCUAGUAGCAUUACUAGAAACCAAAGUGCUUUUGUUCUAGGGAGGAGCAUUAGUGACAAUAUUCUACUGGCCCAACAGCUUGUUAGGGGUUAUAAUAGAUGCACCUUGUCACCUAGAUGUACUUUGAAAAUUGAUCUCCAAAAAGCCUUUUGACUCUCUUAAUUGGCAGUUUAUUCUUGCUGCUUUGGCUACUUUGGGAUUCCCUAGUCAAUUUGUUAGUUCAAUAGAGAAGUGCAUCACUAAGGCUCGAUUUUCAAUUUCAGUAAAUGGGGGUUUGAUUGGCAAAAUUAGAGGUGCUAGGGGAGUAGGACAAAGGGAUCCACUUUCCCCUUACCCUUUUGUGAUUGCCAUGCAUGUUCUGUCAAAAUUACUUGAUGUUGCUGCAUUUUCUGGGUUGUUUAGCUACCAUUCAAAAUGCCAUAAGCUUAGGUUGACUCAUUUAAGCUUUCCUGAUGACUUAUUAAUUUUCUCUAAAGGAAAUUUGGAGACAGUAGUGGGAAUACAAUGUGUUUUGCAGCAGUUUUAUUUCUUCUCAGGCGUAUAAUUAAAUCCUGCCAAGAGUGAGAUUUUUUUCUUCAGGAAUCUCAGAAGAGGAUCUUCAACAUAUCUGCAGUCUUACUGGGUUUAAAAGAGGUCCUGGAAAAUUGACAGUGGCCGAUUGCUCUCCAUUGAUUGAGAAGAUAAAGGAUAGGAUUAAAGGAUGGACAACUAGACAUCUUUCUUAUGCUGCAAGAAUUUCAUUCAGUCUGUUUUAUUCAACAUGCAAAAUUUUUGGUGUAGACAUUUUAUUUUCCCAAAAGGUGUUCUUCAAGCUAUUAAUCUUUGCCUCAAAUUUUUCUGGAAAGGGCAAAAUAUGGAUGCUAAAGGUGCAAGAGUGGGAUGGUCUACAACUUGCAAACCUAAAUCAGAGGGAGGGUUAGGUUUGAAGGAGCUUGAUAGUCGGAAUCAAGCUUGCAUUAUGCAAAACUUGUGGUCUAUUUUGAUUCAAGCAGGACCUCUUUGGGUUGCUUGGAUCCAAGCUUAUGUUCUUAGAGGUAGGGAUUUGUUGCAGGUUUCUCCUUUUCAGACUAGUAGUUGGAGCUAGAGGAAACUUCUCAAAUUGAGGUGUUGGAUCGGGUUGAUUAGAGAUCCUCAAAUGGGUGAACUCAUUGUCCCAAGACAAAAAUAUUCUGUUAGUUAAGUAUGGAAUGGAAGUAGAGGUAAAGUAGCCAAGGUAAAUAGGUGUAAGCUGCUGUGGUUCCCUUAUCAUAUUCCAAAACAUUCAAUGAUUGGUUGGAUGGCAAUGCUUAAUCGACUACCUACGAAGGAUAGGCUAUUGGCUUGGGGAUUGCAAGUUGAUGGCUGUUGCUGUUUUUUUCAUAGUGAGAUGGAGACUAGAAACCAUUUAUUUUUUGAAUGCAACUAUUCUAAGACUGUUUGGAAAGAGGUGUUAAGUCUUUGCUCAUUGCAAAGAUCCCCUAGACAGUGGAAUUUUGUGUUACAAUGGCCAGUACUGAAAUUAACAGGAAAAGCUUUGAUUUCAAUUGUAUUGUGGUUGGCAUGGGGAGCUUUCUUUUACUGGAUCUGGAGAGAACGAAACUGCAGAAUUUUUGGUAACACUCGUUUGUCUGAGAAAGUAAUCUUGGAACAGAUUAAAGAUGCAGUUCUUAUGAGUUUAUCGGGUACUAGAAUUAGAUCUGAUGAAAUUGUAAAUAAUAGAAUUUGUAUAGCUUGGGGUAUAGAGUGAUUUUACUGUAUAGCUUUUGUUUGCAUUGGAAUUUCCUAUGUUGUUUUGUUGUAGCAGAUUUUCUGCUUCUGGAUAAAUAAUAUUUACAGAUUUAUAAAUAAUAAUAAUAAGCAAAAAUAAAAUUUGAAUAGAAUACAAAAAGCAAAGCAUUUUACAGAACAGAGCCUAAGUGAUCAUACAUGAUAAAUCUAGAAAGCACCCAAAGUUAAUCAACAGUUAACUAUUAUGAACCUAUUAAGGAUACAGCACAUAAUUACCUGCAAAGAACACCUUUGAGAGGACGACCAAAACUGGGAUAUAUUUCCACCAUAAUAUCAGCCACAU